rnacentral:rRNA from 1 species
UUAGUUGGUGAGGUAAUGGCUCACCAAGACCGCGAUCCGUAACUGGUCUGAGAGGAUGAUCAGUCACACUGGAACUGAGACACGGUCCAGACUCCUACGGGAGGCAGCAGUGGGGAAUAUUGGACAAUGGGGGGAACCCUGAUCCAGCCAUGCCGCGUGUGUGAAGAAGGUCUUAGGAUUGUAAGGCACUUUAAGUUGGGAGGAAGAGCAGUUAACUAAUAUUUGACUGUUUUGACGUUACCGACAGAAUAAGCACCGGCUAACUUCGUGCCAGCAGCCGCGGUAAUACGGAGGAUGCAAGCGUUAUCCGGAUUUAUUGGGUUUAAAGGGUGCGCAGGUUGUUUGAUAAGUCAGUGGUGAAAGUCUGUCGCUUAACGGUAGGAUUGCCAUUGAUACUGUUGGACUUGAAUAUGGAUGAGGUAGGCGGAAUGUGUAGUGUAGCGGUGAAAUGCAUAGAUAUUACACAGAACACCGAUUGCGAAGGCAGCUUACUAAUCCAUCAUUGACGCUGAGGCACGAAAGCGUGGGGAUCAAACAGGAUUAGAUACCCUGGUAGUCCACGCCGUAAACGAUGAUCACUCGCUGUUUGCGAUAUACAGUAAGCGG